rnacentral:lncRNA from 1 species
CAAAGAUGAAUGAUUUCUGAUGAAUAUCUUUGGCCCGUAGUGCAAAGAUGAACAGGUGUUUAGAUGAACAUGACCAACUGAUGAAUAUCUUUGGCCUGUAGUGCAAAGAUGAAUAUUUGAUUCCAGAGAUUUCUGUGAUUGAUGUUACAGGGAUAAAAGAUAGACGAUGAACUUUAAAUUCAUACAUAGAAGAUAGUAGUUUGCAUUCUCUACUUAACUCUUCUAAUGAAUUAUUAUUUCCGCUGCG